rnacentral:rRNA from 1 species
CGGACGGGUGAGUAACGCGUGAGAAUCUGCCCUCAGGAGGGGGAUAACGGUUGGAAACGACCGCUAAUACCCCAUAUGCCUACUGGUGAAAUGAAUUUCGCCUGAGGAUGAGCUCGCGUCUGAUUAGCUAGUUGGUGAGGUAAUGGCUCACCAAGGCUUCGAUCAGUAGCUGGUCUGAGAGGAUGAUCAGCCACACUGGGACUGAGACACGGCCCAGACCCCUACGGGAGGCAGCAGUGGGGAAUUUUCCGCAAUGGGCGAAAGCCUGACGGAGCAACGCCGCGUGAGGGACGAAGGCCUCUGGGCUGUAAACCUCUUUUCUCAAGGAAGAAGAUAUGACGGUACUUGAGGAAUAAGCCACGGCUAAUUCCGUGCCAGCAGCCGCGGUAAUACGGGAGUGGCAAGCGUUAUCCGGAAUUAUUGGGCGUAAAGCGUCCGCAGGCGGCUUUUCAAGUCUGCUGUUAAAGCGUGGAGCUUAACUCCAUCAUGGCAGUGGAAACUGAAAGGCUUGAGUAUGGUAGGGGCAGAGGGAAUUCCCGGUGUAGCGGUGAAAUGCGUAGAUAUCGGGAAGAACACCAGUGGCGAAGGCGCUCUGCUGGGCCAUCACUGACGCUCAUGGACGAAAGCCAGGGGAGCGAAUGGGAUUAGAUACCCCAGUAGUC